GUCAGACCUUAUCCUGAAAACUGCUACUACGGAAACAAUACAGAGAAGAUUGACAUGGCCUCUGCACAUGGAUAAAAUACUUAAGUGUGUGAGUGGGGGUAGUAUU